UACGUAGGUGACCAGCGUUGUCCGGAUUUACUGGGCGUAAAGAGCGCGCAGGCGGUCGUUCAAGUCGAGUGUGAAAGCCCCCGGCUCAACUGGGGAGGGUCACUCGAUACUGAUCGACUUGAAGGCAGGAGAGGGAAGCGGAAUUCCCGGUGUAGUGGUGAAAUGCGUAGAUAUCGGGAGGAACACCAGUGGCGAAGGCGGCUUCCUGGCCUGUUCCUUGGACG
rnacentral:rRNA from 1 species